rnacentral:rRNA from 1 species
CUUUACUCUAACUUGGCAUUGGCGUAUACGUCUGCAUGUGCAGGAUAGGUGGGAGACUAUGAGAAGGGAGCGCUAGCUCUCUUGGAGUCGUCGUUGAGAUACCACCCUUGCAUUCGUGUACGCCUAACCCCUCAAUGGGGGACAUUGCUUGGCGGGGAGUUUAACUGGGGCGGUUGCCUCCUAAAACGUAACGGAGGCGCACAAAGGUGGGCUAGGUCCGGAUGGAAAUCGGACUGAUAGUGUAUUCGCGCAAGCCCGCUUGACUGGGAGACCUACAAGUCGAGCAGAGACGAAAGUCGGUGAAAGUGAUCCGGCACCAACAUGUGGGAGUGGUGUCGCUCAACGGAUAAAAGUUA